rnacentral:rRNA from 1 species
GACGAACGCUGGCGGCGUGCUUAACACAUGCAAGUCGAACGGAAAGGCCCUGUUUUUGUGGGGUGCUCGAGUGGCGAACGCGUGAGUAUCACGUGAGUAACCUCCCCUUUACUUUGGGAUACCUUCUGGAAACUGGGGUUAAUACCGGGUAUAAGCUCCUGCUGCAUGGUGGGUGUUGGAAAGUUUCGGCGGUUCGGGAUGGACUCGCGGCUUAUCAGCUUGUUGGUGGGGUAGUGGCUUACCAAGGCUUUGACGGGUAGCCGGCGUGAGAGGGUGACAGGCCACAUUGGGACUGAGAAGCGGGCCAGAGGGCUACGGGAGGCAGGAGUGAGGAACAUUGCACAAUGGGCGGAAGGAGGAAGGAGGAACGCCGCGUGGUGGAAGUCUGUCGGUAGGUUAGAACCCGCGUGCGAGUGUGAAGAAGAGUAAGUGACGGUAACGAGUAAAGAAGCAACGGCUAACUACGUG